rnacentral:rRNA from 1 species
GACGAACGCUGGCGGCGUGCUUAACACAUGCAAGUCGAACGGAAAGGCCCUGCUUUUGUGGGGUGCUCGAGUGGCGAACGGGUGAGUAACACGUGAGUAACCUGCCCUUGACUUUGGGAUAACUUCAGGAAACUGGGGCUAAUACCGGAUAGGAGCUCCUGCUGCAUGGUGGGGGUUGGAAAGUUUCGGCGGUUGGGGAUGGACUCGCGGCUUAUCAGCUUGUUGGUGGGGUAGUGGCUUACCAAGGCUUUGACGGGUAGCCGGCCUGAGAGGGUGACCGGCCACAUUGGGACUGAGAUACGGCCCAGACUCCUACGGGAGGCAGCAGUGGGGAAUAUUGCACAAUGGGCGGAAGCCUGAUGCAGCAACGCCGCGUGCGGGAUGACGGCCUUCGGGUUGUAAACCGCUUUCGCCUGUGACGAAGAGUGAGUGACGGUAAUGGAUAAGGAAGCACCGGCUAACUACGUG